rnacentral:lncRNA from 1 species
GACAAUGGCAAAGAAUCUAUUUCAUGGAGCUAUAGUAAUGAAGGCGCGGAUCUCAUCAGCUAGGUGGACUUGCUCCAGUGCGGCCCAAUCAAUGCAUCGGCCUAAACCGAGUGGUUUUUGUCGAAGUAAUUGGAAUAGAUCCUCCUGGGGGCCCACCGAAAAUCGAAGAUAAAGGUGGCAGACCUCGGCGGAUGCGCUCGAGGAGGAGGUCCCACCGGGGCCUUUUCGCUUUUCGAAGCGGGGACGGCUACCUUAGACUUGCCGCGUGUGUUCGUCAUAGUGUGCC